AAGCAACAAGGUUCAAAGUCAAGCAAGGGAUCAAGAAGAAGAAGCACCAUCAAGAGAGGAGAUGACAGAGACUACAAGAUCAGCAGGAAGAAGCAGCAUCAAGAGAGGACAUGGCCAGAGACUACAAAGAUCAGCAAGAAGAAGCACCUGAUCGGCAGCGUGGGAAGGUGGCUGCUGCUGCUGCUGCUGCUGGGACUGGAGGUAGGCGCGGAGGUCGUCGUAGCUGAGGAGGGAGAAGUUCUCGGGCCACUCGCCGGAGAUGAUGGCGUCGGGGUUCUCGUCGAGCCCGAGCCGGAGCCCGCUCCCGUCCAUGAACGUGGACGCCCGGCACCCGAAGCUCCCUGCGCCGGUGGCUUUGCCCCUUCUGGCCUCAGCCUUGGCCCCUUUGAACAUGGAGCAGCUCUGCAAGGUAUUGAUGCACGCCAUGGAUGCUACUCUUCCUUGUCUCGUGUGGUGGAUGUUGUCUGACUGUGUUCUCUUGCAGAUCCCAGCAGGAGGGCUCCAUUUAUAGGGAGUGAAGCUGGAGGCGCUGGGAUCGCUCCAUGCCCAUUGUCAGUGAGCUGAGCUGGAUGGGCAUGCUUGCAUGGGGAGGGAGGGGCUGGC
rnacentral:lncRNA from 1 species